rnacentral:sRNA from 1 species
UAAACCUGCCUGAGUGCUCUCUUCCGAUUGCCGAAGAACUUCUCGCAUUUUGCCCCCACGGUUUGAAUUCUCCUUGAUCGAGGGGGGAUUUCACAUCAAACAGGGGACUUCACACGCUUCUGUGCACUGAGGACUCGCCACUUCCCCCGCAUAAUAUUGCUAACGAAAGUUCAACGUUCUAAGUCGGGUUAAUGAAUUGUUAAUAAGUAUGUCGACUUUGAGUCUCGAUGCUUCGGUCUGGGCGGAGGUUUGUAGGGUACGGUGUACUGUGCUCGUUCGAUACGCCAACAUCGUGGGUUCUAAAAAUACACUGAACUCUGUGCAAUGGUACGGAGUAGUUGAAGUUAAGAUAAAUGAGCAUAUUCGUAAGCCCACGGAUCGAAAUAUCGAAAUCAAGAUAAAAUGAAAACGGUUGUCUGUUUCUGCUCGGAUAAAUAACAUGAUCGCUUGGC